GGAGUUAUGGGCAAAGGAAUGGAGGUGAGGUCCACCGCAGAUGUGUCUUUGCUUUUCAGAGCUGCUCAGCUUUAAGUCCUACCUGCAGUUCACCAUCCUGGCUGCCCAUGGGAUUCACCUGGGGCAUUCCAAAUACCGGUUUCUGGACUUCAUUCCCAGAUAGCUUUCUUCCAUUCGUCUGGAGAUGCCUGGGUACGCUGUUGAAAAAAAGAAAUGUCCUAGAUGAUUCUAAUAAGCAUCGGAGAUUGGGAAACACUGUUUUUGCUGGUGAGUCCGUGAGUAACGAGAACCGAGCUUGGGUGGGAGACAGAAGUGUUCAUCGUUUGCACUUGGGAAGCCUGACAAGUAGGUGGAUCCUGGGCCCCCUUCCAGAAAAUUCAAGUGUCCAAAACGCGUGUGAUAACCGUGGUCAGGAAGUCACGUUUGAGAAACACCAGGGCAGCUUUGAGAGUCGUGCGACGGUGUUUGUCCUUUGUCCACGUGGUGCCGCUAAUCAAGGGUUAUUUUGUUUUGCUUUGUUCUGCUUCGCUUAUUUGUUUGUUACUUUGUUGGUUGGUUGCUAGGGACUGAGAUGGGUUUGAAACUGCUUUGGAGAAGAGCCAGCCGAGUGGUCCUGUGGGAAGAAGAGAUCUUUGAGAACAUUCUCAUACAACUCCAGGUUGGCAUUGCUUGGUGUCAUAGAAGUGGGAUCCAGAAAAGACCUCAACAGCUCCAAGGCUGGUGAGCAGACCCUUGUCAAUACCCACUGAGGCCAUUGAGCUCACUCUUUUGUCACUGACCCUGGAGUUUGAGAAGUACCUGAGCUUCAAGGAGAUUCAUGGAGAGGACUUUUGACAAAUAUAGGUUUGUGAUACCUUGAAGAGCAUAAAACCAAACUAGGACACAACCGAAGGCACUGGCUAUAUUACCAAGACUUUGACUGAAAUGGUAUUUCAGAUAAAUCUGAUGGCCAGUCCUUGACUUGGCUUCCUGGCCUCAGAGGCAAUGACAGUUCAAUCUGAGACGCCUUAUGAAAAGUUCCAGCAAAUCAGUCUUAAAAAGAACUUACAAGGUCAAUCAAUAUUUCUGCUACGUGUGUGUGAGUAACCAGGCCAAGUUUAAUGCAAACGAAUUAGUUUUAUCUUUAGUAAAAAAAAAAAUGGGGCUACUUGUAGAGAGAUGGGGCAUGUAGAGAGAAAAAAUAUGUUUGCACCUUUGUCUACGUUAGAUUCUAGCCCUGUUAAUUGUCUUUGAGGUUUGGCUAUAUACCUGUAAACUAGGCUGGAUCCUGAAUUCACCUGGUUUCCUCAAAUAUCUGGCUACAACUCUUCAACCUAUCACUUCCAAUUUUGUCCCGCUCAUCUGAUUUGGAAUCACCAAAGAACGAAGACUGCUCCUAAAUCUCCUUGGAAGGGACUAUAAGAAGUCUUUCCCAUUACUGGGAUGGCAGCCAAACUUCAGGGACUUGAGCCUUGACUGCACAUCGGACAUCUGAAGGAGGUUUUUCCUGACAGCCAGUCCUGUGCAAGUCCUGGAGGCUUCCAAAUCAAAUUGACCAGGAGGACAGUGAUCUGACAUCAAGAGGGGCAAGACCACUAAAUAUGGAAAACCUGACUCCCAAUCGAUGCUUUGAAAGAAAGAUCUUGAUCAAAGGAGGGAAAUGUGAAACUGAAUAGAGGAAACCUCAUUUAAAAGGGAGUCAGGAGACCAGAAGGGGAACUCUCAUGUCGAAGCAUUUGUCCCUCGCAGACCCCAGCAGGAAGAAAUGUACUUUGCAAUACCAGCAGGAAGAAGCCUACUUUACCACCUCAGGAGGAAGGGAGAAUUUCUCCUGACCUAGCAACAAGCUCAGCCAAUAAGAAAAUACCACAGCUCAGCCAAUGAGAAACCAUCACUACCCUGAACUCUCAUUUUCCUCCAAUGGAUUUCAUUCAUGCAGCCCCUCCCAACUUCCUUCUCUUCUCUACAAAGUAACCUUCUUUUCCUUUGAUUUUUCAACUGUGUUAUGGUUUGCCAUAGCUUUUGUGUCCUGAACUGCAAUUUCUCUGCUAUUCCUCAAUACACUUAUUCUGCUGGUAAAAUAACUGGCUGUUUUGCUUUUAAGGUUGACAGGCCUUCGUCCCAUAAGACUUCCCCCACUUUAGAAGGCAAUUUCAAGUCCAGGUUGUUACCUAUACUUCUGAGCCACUGGCUAUAAGUUGGAGGUUCCCGGGAACCUUUCUUCCACUUCAAUUAAUAUGCUAGGAUGCCUCAAAGAACUCAGAAAAACAUGUACUCAUGUUUACCAGUUUAUGACGAAGGAUAUUAUAAAGGAUAUAAAUGAAUAGCCAGAUGAAGAGGUACAUAAAGCCUAGGAGGGUCCCAAGUGCAGAAGCUUCUGUCCCCAUGGGCCUGGAGUGGACUAUCCUCCAGGCAUAUGGAGACA